rnacentral:rRNA from 1 species
GACGUAGGGCGCAAGCGUUGUCCGGAUUUAUUGGGCGUAAAGAGCUCGUAGGCGGCUUGUUGCGUCGGCCGUGAAAACCCGCAGCUCAACUGCGGGCUUGCGGACGAUACGGGCAGGCUGGAGUUCGGUAGGGGAGACUGGAAUUCCUGGUGUAGCGGUGAAAUGCGCAGAUAUCAGGAGGAACACCGGUGGCGAAGGCGGGUCUCUGGGCCGAUACUGACGCUGAGGAGCGAAAGCGUGGGGAGCGAACAGG